CGGCACGGCCAUUUGUGCUUGUGGAGUUCACUGGAGUGGUAACCGGUGCCAGGAUGUACGCGUUCCGUCCCUCCGACGAAACACAGAAAACCCAUGCCUUCCCAACCCGUGUCAGAAUUCUGGGUUUUGUAUGCCAGGAGUCCCCAGCUUUAGAUGCAUCUGUUCAAAUGGUUUCACGGGCACCACAUGCGCCGCAGUAGAUGCGUCCUAUGUUGAUCCAUGUUCUGGUAUCAC